CCCCCCCCCCCCCCCCCCCCCCCCCCCCCCCCCCCCCCCCCCCCCCCCCCCCCCCCCCCCCCCCCCCCGAACUAGAGCUGAGGGACAGCGGGGACGAGCUGAGGGAGCUGGAACUAGAGCUGAGGGACAGCGGGGACGAGCCGAGGGAACUGGCCGGCUGAGGGAAGCAGGGCGGCCCUGAGGGGGAGCCUGGCCAGUGCGAGCCCUGAAGGAGCCCAGGCUUGUGUGGCUGGGCGAGCACAUAGGACGGAUUCCCUUAAAGUGAGGGAUGCAGUUGUGUGAACCUCCAUAGUCUUCCACGGCAUCUUCCAGGAGAAAUUCCGAAGGGGAAGAUCAAGGCACUGACAGAUGAAGUCUAGUCCAAGAUGAAACAGAAAAGCAGUGGAAGGUUGAGCUCCUGCAAGCUGAAUUACACCUUUAUUCUUCACUUGCUUUCCUGGCAGCAGGAUCUGCAUGCAAGGCUCCUUCCUCUCCACUGCUUUUCACCUACAAGGUCUAAUUGAAGUACUUUUCCACACUUUCCAUAGUUGCACGCUGCAGAAUGCAGUGUGUGGAGGGAGUGCACAGCACCAGAGCAGGUGUCCCCCAUGUUGGAUGAGCUGGUGCAGGAAGAAAAUGACAACCGUGGGGUGCGAUUCGUUCCCUGGCUGA
rnacentral:lncRNA from 1 species